AGAUUCUCAUUUUGGAAGUGGAAAUCCAAAAAUAUAUCUCAGGGAUGAAAACUCACUCAGAUCUUCAACUCCACAAACUGUUCCUGAUCCCGUGUCUGUGGGAGUGGAGCCCUGCAACUGCCCUUCUACAAACCCCUGUAAGUUUCCUGGACACCUUCAAGCUUGUCUUGGAGGAAACACUGAGGAGGAAGUGAACAGACGUGAAUCUUCUCCAUGUUGUUCUUGUACAACUGGUUACCUCAGUUCAGACUCUUCUGAUGAUGAACCCUGCUCGGACUCGUGUCAGCAAGAGUCUGCUUCUCAAGUGGAUCGAGUCUGUUCAGAUAAUUCAAUCACAAGCU